GGCUGGUCCGAUGGUAGUGGGUUAUCAGAACUUAUUAACAUCAGUGUCACUAACGUUGGUAUUCAACCCCCACUGCUAAAUUUGACUGGCUUAAA
rnacentral:Y_RNA from 1 species